UAUCAAAUAGGAAGUAAACAUUCUGCAAUUGUCUUAUAUUUUUGAUAUUCCCUUGAAAGUCAUUAAUUAUGAAAUUGUAUUUUAGAUCUUAUAAUUAAUAGGGCUACAUUUUAGUCUAUUUUCUAGAGGCUAUUCAGUUGUUUACUAUUCUGGUCAUACAUAAAACUAAUAUUACAUAAAAAUUUUACUUCUAGGGUCAUUAAGAAUGUGGAAACAAGCAAAAGUUGACUGGGUAAGUGAGAAAAACGGAAUCUUUAAAGAUUUGGUAUCUGAAGUUGCUGAGUGGAACCCGGGAGCCCGUCUGACCUUUGCUUUGCGAAACAGACUUGAAAAAUAUUCAAUAGAUGUCAGAAAAGAAAUUGUCAACAGAGUGGUAGAUGGUUGUUCGCCAUUAUUUAAGGCCUGUAAAUUUGGAAGAUUGGAGGUUGUUGAGUACUUGAUUCAUACAUGUGGAGCUGAUAUUGAACAAAAAGGAAUAUAUGAGGUUCUUCAGGAUAGGUCAACUCAUAUUGUUACCCCAUUAUGGUGUGCAGCAGUAUCAGGGAAACUUAGCAUUGUAGAGCUUCUUCUUGAUGCUGGGGCCAAUAUCAAUGCAGUAUCUGAUAGUGGCUCAACACCAAUACGAUCGGCUUGUUUUAUGACCCAUUUUGAAGUUGUACGGUACCUGGUCCAACAUGGAGCUGAAAUCAAUACACCCAACUUCAAUGGAGGCACUUGUUUGAUAAAUUCUGUACAGAGUGUUAAGUUAUGUCAUUUUUUAUUGGAGAAUGGAGCAGAUGUUAAUGCCAAAGAUAUACAAAAUAAGACUGCUUUACAUUAUGCUAUUCAGGAACAUCGAUUGGAAUCUACUAAACUGCUGUUGGAAUAUGGGGCAGAUUAUAAUGCAAUAUCCAGGUAUGGAGAUGACGCUUUACAAAUGUCAUGCCUCAAGGGUGCUCAUGAGAUCUUCGAGUAUCUGACAGUAAAUAUAAAUUAUUCGCCAGAGAGGCUAGCCAACGCACAUGAACUCAUGGGCGCCACUUUCCUGGACGAACACAAUGGAGUGUCAAAAUGUAUGCAGCACUGGAGAAAAGCACUAAAAAUAAGGGAUGAGCACAACUUACAUCCUAAGAAACCAGCUGUAGGUUUGUACGAGGCUUAUAGGUAUCAAAAAGAAUUUGAAACAGAAGAUGAACUACUAGCUAUGUCUGGCGAUUUAGAUAAAAUUCGCAUCCAGAGUCUUUUAGUUGCUGAGAGGAUCUUGGGAAGUCAUCAUAAGGAUACCAUAUUUAGAUUAAUGUAUCGAGGUGCCUACUAUGCAGAUGUAGCUUGUUAUCAGCGUUGCAUUGAACUUUGGCGACGUGUCCUGAAAAUUCGCAUAGAAAAAGAUACCGUCUUGUAUACAGACACCUGCUUUGCUGCACAAGCGCUUGUGAAACUGAUGGUGGACUAUAAUAUAAAUUCAGCUUUAGACAAUUUUGACAAUACGGAUAGGCGAUUCCAUGACAUAGUCGAAACUUUUAUUCUACUUGCAACAAGUCUUUUAGAAAUGAGGCCAUUGAUGUUGAUCCGUCCCCAAUAUAAGAGACAACUAGACUUUUUUGAGAAGAUUUUGAGACCCCUAAAGAUGAAUUAAGGUCGGGACACAUACAGUGCGGCCCUUAAUUUAAAAGAUAAAAGGAGAAGAGAGGACUUCUCCUUUUAUCUUUUAAAUGCGUUUAUAUAAAAAUUUAAAAUUUGGCAUACAGCAUUAGCAACCUAAAUACUACUUUUUGGUCUCUAGCUCAUUUUGCAAAACUUCAAAAUGGCGGCGCGACACCAUAUUAAAAAUAAAAUUAAACAAAGAGGGGGAUCAUGCGAUACACCGUUUGAAAGCUCCCACGAAUGCUUUAUGAUCCUUGAAUAUUAAGUCAUUACUUUUACCCAUAACCAAAUAGCGGUUUCAAAAUCUUAUUUUUCGCAUUUUUUGGCACCGGUACGCCAUUUUUAAGUUUUGCAAAAUCAGCUAGGGACCAAAAAGCAGUAUUUAGGUUGCUGGUGUGUGCCAAAUUUCAAAUUUUUAUAUAAACGCAUUCGAAAGAUAAGAGAAGAGAGGGGGACAAUCAAGAGCCGCACCGUAAAUUCGUACCGACCCGGAGCGCAGCUCGACCAUGUCUCGGUACGUUAUCCACCAAACCACACAUCUCCGAGAGUGCAACUUAGCGGGGCCGCCCGUACCGAAUCGCACCUUACUCCGCAAAGUGGACUAGAAAUUCGGCACUAGUAGCUAUUGAGUUAGAUAAAGAACAUAGAUUAGAUAAAACUGCACAGAAACGAACGAGGUGUGCAUGGGUUUAUAGUGGAAAAAUUUAAAACAUUGUUUCCCCAUCUAAUGGAUGAUGACGAAAGUGAAGAAAAAAUUAAGGAAGAAAGACAAAUUUUGGAGGCUAUCAAUAACACCAAAAGAACGACUGGCUAUAUGUUUAAGGUAUUUUAUUAUUAACUAUAAUAUGUAUUUUUAUUUAUCUGAUAUUAAGAAUUAUCAAGAAUAAGCAAAGCCACCAUCUAUAGAUUACAAUAAGUCAGGCCACUCGACCUACUCUGAAAAACGCCCUCUCAUGUCUCCGUUCUUCGCUUUACCACGGAAGCCGGCUUCGCCGUAUUACUUUUCGCAUAUACCUUAAAUUGCCCACCUGGCGCAAGUUACGGGUUCUAACCCGCUACCUUAUGCCGACCCUGCAUAAUAAUUGUAUAAUAAGCCUUUGUCAAUAAUUAUAUUAUUAUAAAUACCAUAGAUUAUAUUGUAACCAGUUCAAUUCAAUUAUGUUUAAUUAGAUUUAAGACUUAAGUUAGGUUA
rnacentral:misc_RNA from 1 species